GAAAUGCCUCCAUGAGAUCCAGCUGUAAGGCAUUUUCUUAAUUAGUGAUUGAUGUGGGAGGGCCCAGCCUGUGGUGGGUGGUACCAUCUCUGAGCUGGUGGUCCUG
ensembl:miRNA